ensembl:miRNA
GUGAGUGGGAGGCCAGGGCACGGCAGGAGGAGCUGCACAGUGGUCGGAGGGAACCCAGUAUCUGAGCCCUGUCCUUCCACAGG